AGUGAACGCUGGCGGCAGGCCUAAUACAUGCAAGUCGAACGGCAGCACAGCAGAGCUUGCUCUGUGGGUGGCGAGUGGCGGACGGGUGAGGAAUACAUGGGAAUCUGCCCAGUCGUGGGGGAUAACGUAUGGAAACGUACGCUAAUACCGCAUGCGCCCUACGGGGGAAAGUCGGGGACCGCAAGGCCUGGCGCGAUUGGAUGAGCCCAUGUUCGAUUAGCUAGUUGGCGGGGUAAAGGCCCACCAAGGCGACGAUCGAUAGCUGGUCUGAGAGGAUGAUCAGCCACACUGGAACUGAGACACGGUCCAGACUCCUACGGGAGCAGCAGUAGGGAAUAUUGGACAAUGGGGGCAACCCUGAUCCAGCCAUGCCGCGUGAGUGAAGAAGGCCCUCGGGUUGUAAAGCUCUUUUGUCCGGAAGAAAGCAAUCGGUUAAUACCCGGUUGUCCUGACGGUACCGGAA
rnacentral:rRNA from 1 species